rnacentral:rRNA from 1 species
ACGCUCGACACCUACUGGAGGCAGCAGUAGGGAAUCUUCCACAAUGGACGCAAGUCUGAUGGAGCAACGCCGCGUGAGUGAAGAAGGUUUUCGGAUCGUAAAGCUCUGUUGUUGGUGAAGAAGGAUAGAGGUAGUAACUGGCCUUUAUUUGACGGUAAUCAACCAGAAAGUCACGGCUAACUACGUGCCAGCAGCAGCGGUAAUCUGAGCGGGCUGGCAAGGC